GAGAGAAGAACGGAAUUUGAAUGGAGCUUGCAGACAAGCUUUGGAAGCACAUUCCAUGUGUAAGCAACAGGGUGGAAGCACUCUGCACAAGAAUGAAUUUCGCCCACAACAUUUUAAUGCACUUAGACCCAUGACUUGGCUCUGAACACCUUGGCUGUAUAACAAAGGGAUUCUUUCUAGAAGAUGAAAGGUGUCUGAUGGAAUUAGUAGUACAUGCUUUAACUAAGAACAGGUGCUGCACGCUUCUUUC